CGGGUGAGUAACGCGUGGGUAACCUGCCUCACACAGGGGGAUAGCAGUUGGAAACGGCUGAUAAUACCGCAUAAGCGCACAGUACCGCAUGGUACAGUGUGAAAAACUCCGGUGGUGUGAGAUGGACCCGCGUCUGAUUAGCUAGUUGGCAGGGUAACGGCCUACCAAGGCAACGAUCAGUAGCCGACCUGAGAGGGUGACCGGCCACAUUGGGACUGAGACACGGCCCAG
rnacentral:rRNA from 1 species